AUGCUCCAGCCUAGGCAACAAGAGUGAAACUCUGUCUCAAAAAAAAAAAAAAAAUUAAUCUAUAUGUUCAUACAUAUUGCCUUUCAUAUAACUAAAAUCAAAUUUCUUUCUUCCUUUCUUGCCUGGUUCUCUCUCCUUCCCAUUUUGCUCCAAGAUAACCAUGUCGUAUAUAUAUCCUUCCAUAUUUUUCCUCAUACUUGAAUGAUUAUCCUAUCUGUUUUUGUUUAUUUAUAUAUUUUAAGAUAGGAUCUUGCUUUGUUGCCAGGCUGGUCUUGAACUCCUGGGAUCAAAGGAUCCUCCCACCUCAGCCUAGUAUCUGGAAAUUAUUCUAAUAGACUAGAAGAUAAAUUGAGUUGAGACGAAUUUUAAUGUAUGGCUUUGGGGAUGGCGGUUGGAAAAUAAAGGCCAUUUUGGCAAUAGAUUUUUAUCUUUAAAGUGAGUAUCCACUUGGUUGCAAGAGGAUUAAUUAUAGGAAUCUCUUCCUCUUGUAGUCUCUCAGCUUGAACAGAUAAAUAUAGAGCACCAGUGCUCAGAGAGGGAAUGCUGUAGAGAACGUGUGGGUAGCUGCUGUAGUUUUACACAGCAGAUAACAUCUAGAAUAAAGAACAGAUGAAAAUACUCAUUGAGGAUUAGUGUUCUUGAAACAUCAUCAAAUGGAACAUUCCCCAAGCCUAGCAUUCAGAGCCAUUCAUAAUCUUGCUCAUCUUGCAUGUCUGAUAAUAUCUCCUAUCGAGCCCAACAUACUUUUCCCUAAUCCCACUUUACUCUCUGCCUGCUGCAUUCAUUCCUAGUGCCAGACAUUUGUUUUAUCCUUUCGAAGAUACAUCUCUGCCUUUCUACAUUCCUGAUUACAAUCUGUCUUUUCAGUACUCCACUCAAGUGUCACCGCCUUCGUGAAGCCUCUUUGCUUUCUCUAGACCACAUUGAUCCUUUUUAUCUCUUAACUCCUAGAGUACUGAUACUUUGAAUUCUUCAUAUUGGUUCCCGAGUAUGUGUUUGUGUAGCAGUAGGAAGUGUUUUUUGAGUGCCUCUUGUAUGGGAAGCACUAUGGUAAAUAUUGGGUUUAUAGGAAUGAACACGACAGAUAAUGUCCCUGUCCUUAAGAAGUUUUAUAUUCUUGUGGGGAGAGACAGCUAAUAAAUAAUUAACAAGAAAAUAUCAGUAAGAAUCUGAUGAAAAAAUGUAUGAAGAAUGAAUCAGAGCUCUUAGUUGAAACGGCAAAGCCCAGUAGUUUAUUUAAGCAGAAUUAAAAAAAAAAAAAUUUUUUUUUAAUCUAAUAAGAUAGCUCACAGAAUCUUCACGGAUGCCAGAGAAUCAGUCUUGGCGUCUACUUAGCUAGGAAAAAUGCCCAAAUUAUACCACUGGACCAAAUCAUUGGAGACUACUGCUUUUGCCACUGGGAAUAGGUAUUAGAACUUGUAACUGUCUGUGCUGAGUGUGAGAUGCCACUGCUAGGACCUCUGCUAUUUCUGCUUCUGAAAGAAUGCUGAUAUAACUCUGAAAUGUUCUUUAGAAUGGAUUUCACAUGGCGUCUCCAUUAUAUCACUUGCCUUCUAAUGAAUAUCAUGUGAAUGUGUUUUAUUGGCAUAAUAUAGGUCAAUUACCUGCUCCCGGUUUGCAAGAGAGGAUGGGUAACUGAAUUUCUGACUUUUAUUUUGAGGAGGUAGGAUUUAAGGGAUGAGAAAUUCGCCAAACAAGAAAGGCUGUUUAAAGGUACUGAAUACUUAACUAGUCGAUUAUUAAUAAACUAUGGGAAAUUUGAUACAGUGGAGUGAUUGGAGGAUUAAUUUAGAUUUGAGUAGUCAGAGAAGAUUUCUCUAAGUUCAUGAUACUUAAGCUGAGACAUAUAUGACAAGGAGAAAUCCAUGUAAAGAUACGGGUGAAGAGGAACAAUACAGUCAGGAUGGCUAAAGGUGACCUCAAGAAACCAAAGGGCAAGAUGUCUGCUUAUGCCUUCUUUGUGCAGAUGUGCAGAGAAGAACAUAAGAAGAAAAACCCAGAGGUCCCUGUCAAUUUUGCAGAAGUUUCCAAGAAGUGCUCUGAGAGGUAGAAGAUGAUGUCUGGGAAAGAGAAAUCUAAAUUUGAUAAAAUGGCAAAGGCGGAUAAAGUGCGCUAUGAUCGGGAAAUGAAGGAUUAUGGACCAGCUAAGGGAGGCAAGAAGAAGAAGGAUCCUGAUGCUCCCAAAAGGCCGCCGUCUGGAUUCUUCCUGUUCUGUUCAGAAUUCCGCCCCAAGAUCAAAUGCACAAACCCCGGCAUCUCUAUUGGAGACGUGGCAAAAAAGCUGGGUGAGAUGUGGAAGAAUUUAAAUGACAGUGAAAAGCAGCCUUACAUCACUAAGGCAGCAAAGCUGAAGGAGAAGUAUGAGAAGGAUGUUGCUGACUUUAAGUCAAAAGGAAAGUUUGAUGGUGCAAAGGGUCCUGCUAAAGUUGCCUGGAAAAAGGUGGAAGAGAAAGAUGAAGAAGAGGAGGAGGAAGAAGAGGAGGAGGAGGAGGAGGAUGAAUAAAGAAACUGUUUAUCUGUCUCCUUGUGAAUACUUAGGGGAGCACGAUAAUUGACACAUCUCUUAUUUGAGAAGUGUCUGUUGCCUUCACUAGGUUUAAUUACAAAAUUUGAUCAUGAUCAUAUUGUAGUCUCUCAAAGUGCUCUAGAAAUUGUCAUUGGUUUACAUGAAGUGGCCAUGGGUGUCUGGAGCACCCUGAAACUGUAUCAAAGUUGUACAUAUUUCCAAACAUUUUUAAAAUGAAAAGACCCUCUUCUUGUUCUCCUCACUCUGUGCACUUUGCUGUUGGUGUGACAAGGCAUUUAAAGAUGUUUCUGGCUUUUUUUUUUUUUUUUUUUUUAGUUUGUAAGGUGGUGUUAACUAUGGUUAUUGGCUAGAAAUCCUGAGUUUUCAACUGUAUAUAUCUAUAGUUUGUAAAAAGAACAAAACAAUCAAGACAAACUCUUGAUGCUCCUUGCUCGGCGUUGAGGCUGUGGGGAAGAUGCCUUUUGGAGAGGCUGUAGCUCAGGGUGUGCACUGUGAGGCUGAACCUGUUGACUCUGCAGGGGGCAUCCAUUUAGCUUCAGGUUGUCUUGUUUCUGUAUAUAGUGACAUAGCGUUCUGCUGCCAUCUUAGCUGUGGACAAAGGGGGGUCAGCUGGCAUGAUAAUUUUUUUUUUUAAGUGCGAUAGUUUUUAACUUUGUUUUUAAACAAACUGUAGAACUCUUCAUUGUCAGCAAAGCAAAGAGCCACUGCAUCAAUGAAAGUUCAAGAACCUCCUGUACUUAAACAUGAUUUGCAACGUUCUGUUAUUAUUAUUAUUUUUUGUAUGUUUAGAAUGCUGAAAUGUUUUUGAAGUUAAAUAAACAGUAUUACAUUAAAAAAAAAAGAUAUGGGUGAAGAGUAUUUCAGUAGAGGGAACAAGUGAAACGCCCCUGGUUUGAGAUUGGGUUGGGGGUUUAGGGCAUGGAUAUUAUAUGGUCUUAUACUUACAACAGGAAAGAGUAGCAGGAUGGCUAAUGUGGUGGGAGUGUGGGAAUGAGAGGGAGUAUAGUAUGAGAUAACACUGGGGAGAAGGUUCUGUUUUAACAUAAGUUUGAGGACACUCCGCUUAUUUCCUUUCCUACUCUGAGAAUGACUUGUUGAGAGUAGGGAUGAAAUUAUAGGUAUAUGGAUAAGAAAGGCAUUCCUGUGUUAUUAAACCCCAUGAACUAUUGGAUACCAUGAAGGGACUAAAAUUAUUUGUAUAUUUGUUUAGGAGGAGAAUAACAUGAGGGAUCUAGCAAAGAUAAAUACUAGAAAGACUAUGUUUCUAGUGAGUAGAGGAAUGAAGCCUGUUUUUAUUCUAGUGUCCAAAUCUGGUGGGCCUUGAAAAGAAUUGCUUCUUCAUUCUUCUUACCUUGGUAUCCAGGAACAGUGUAUUAUGGUUGCAGUUACUUGUAUUGUGCUAGCUUUUAGGACUGCUUCAAAAUACCAAAAGGCUCUAAACCUAAAUGUACACUGAUAGAUCUUUCCUAUUAAAGAAUAGCAUUAUAUAGUAAAGUGAUAGAAAAUUGUAUUUUAGGCCGGCCGCGGUGGUUCAUGCCUGUAAUCCCA